rnacentral:rRNA from 1 species
UGCUUCUCUUGAGAGCGGCGGACGGGUGAGUAAUGCCUAGGAAUCUGCCUGGUAGUGGGGGAUAACGUUCGGAAACGGACGCUAAUACCGCAUACGUCCUACGGGAGAAAGCAGGGGACCUUCGGGCCUUGCGCUAUCAGAUGAGCCUAGGUCGGAUUAGCUAGUUGGUGGGGUAAUGGCUCACCGAGGCGACGAUCCGUAACUGGUCUGAGAGGAUGAUCAGUCACACUGGAACUGAGACACGGUCCAGACUCCUACGGGAGGCAGCAGUGGGGAAUAUUGGACAAUGGGCGAAAGCCUGAUCCAGCCAUGCCGCGUGUGUGAAGAAGGUCUUCGGAUUGUAAAGCACUUUAAGUUGGGAGGAAGGGUUGUAGAUUAAUACUCUGCAAUUUUGACGUUACCGACAGAAUAAGCACCGGCUAACUCUGUGCCAGCAGCCGCGGUAAUACAGAGGGUGCAAGCGUUAAUCGGAAUUACUGGGCGUAAAGCGCGCGUAGGUGGUUUGUUAAGUUGGAUGUGAAAUCCCCGGGCUCAACCUGGGAACUGCAUUCAAAACUGACUGACUAGAGUAUGGUAGAGGGUGGUGGAAUUUCCUGUGUAGCGGUGAAAUGCGUAGAUAUAGGAAGGAACACCAGUGGCGA